rnacentral:lncRNA from 1 species
UAUAUUAUUAAUAUUAUUUAUUUCUGAAUUCUCCAUCUAGGAAAGCCAGUUGGAAGCAAAACAUACUUGUGUAAACCAGUCCAAAAAGCCCUGCCUGUGAGCAAGCUGUCUUCAGACUAAGCCUGAAGCUAGCCUGCAGUCUGACAAGCCUUUGGAUUAAUUGCACCCUCUCCUUGCUAGCAAAUGGGAGGAUUUUAAACAUCCUUUAAAGCUUUCUGAAGUUCUGGUUCUGCUGCAGAAUACUGUGAUUUUCGUGAUGUAAUUAGCGGUUGUUCAGGUUUGGGAUAAUUGGCAUCAGCCAGGGCUGGCUGCUCCCAGUUUGCUGAAGCAGGCAUCCUCCUCCCCCUGGAGCCAGCACCAGCACAGUCAGGUGCACUGGACCUCAGGUACCAGAUACACCAAAGUGGAGACUGCAAUCAAUAAUUCACCUUGUCUGCCACGCCUGUGGCCUGGGAAAGCUUCAAGAAACUCCUACUUCCAUUUUUCUGAUUUUCCUCAAUUAGAGAACCCUUGAACACCUCAAGGAGAGAGGUCUUCCCAUCCCAUGUGAUGCUUUCUCAUGUUUCUGUGGGAAAAUUUCAUAAAUUUGAAGUUGAAAUUUGAAAUGAAUCAGAGUUUCUGGGUGUAAAAUAUCCAACACCUCUUGCCAGAUGUAUUAGGGGUGUUUUAAAAUCGAACUGUCUUGUUCUGAGCAUUGGUUGUUCUGUGAAAGUCACUGAUCUAAAAGUCAGAGAAACUGUGCAUUUGGUGAUUAUCCUGAUGUAAGAAGGAGUUUCUUGAUGUUGUCCCAUAAAUAGUACUUUAAAACAGUAUAGUGAAACAUAUGAAACAGCGAA